GCGCCCAGCUCCUCCUCCUCGCCCGACUCCGAGUCGCCCUCGCUGCCGCUGAAGAGGGCCCCCGCGGUCAAGAAGGUGGGAUAGCGUCAUUCAUAUGGUUCAACACGUGUGUACUGGAUGACGUCAACUGCAUAUCUUACUGGGUCCCAGUCCCAAAACUGAGAAAUACUGAAAUAAAGUAUGUUCAAGUGUU